CAUAACUUUGAAAACUAAAAAGUAAAAUCACACCUUUUCAGGCUCAGCAACCAGCAUUGUAAGUUAUUCUAAUACAUGGAUUUGCACAGUCUCCACCGAUUGAAUAAGUAAGCCAUUAAGUUUUAAGCCAAAGUUUCAAACAGAGGCACAAGGUAUCCAUUUACAGACUAUAAAAGUGUUCAACAAAUGUCAUUUCCACUCUUUUAUAUUCCUUAGCACUUCAUUGCUUCUGUUUGUACCCUGCAGGAUGCACAGCCUUGAUGAAGACAAUAAAACCAACAAUGGAAUCAAUCCUUCUGUAAUCACAAUUUCUCAGUUUACUUAUCCAUAAGUUUCUUUCUACUUUCGACCUCAUCUCCCUUCCAUUCUCUCCUGCCUCCUAUUUAUUUGUUACCAAGACUAAGAAGCUGAUGAAUUUUCUUUCUAGGUUCUCCAAACAGCCUUAGGUUCUACUGACACAACCCUCCAGAUCCACAAGCUAGCCCAUUUGCCAGACAGGGAGACCAAGGUAGAGAGGAGCUAUAGUUUGGCCAGAAGACAGCCAACAAAGUGACCCUAGAGCUAGAAAUAGAAACCAGGACUUGGACCUUCCUGGGGCAAAAGAUGCUGUCCUGGCAUCUGGAGGAGGGACUUACUCAUAGCAGGGGUUUUCGAGGGCCUCUGGUGGGGAGAUAUACAUGUAUGGUGACACAGGCUUGUCCACAAAUGCCCCGAAGCCAAUCCGCAGGUUACUGGUGAGCUUUCGCAUCUGGGUGGCCAGCUUGGUACCCAGGUUCUGGAUGCUCCACAGAUCGUCCUUCAUGGAGUAAGACAGGUCCAUCAAGUAGUAGAUGUCCACAGGGUAAUCCUCCACCUGCCGCACUUGGAUGGAGAAAUUCUUCGAAUCAUCUGGAAGGCAGAAAGACGUUAGUUUUUAUCUUCUUCUCCUUCCAAGAUUGAAUAAGCAGAUUUGGAUACAGUUGGGACUAAGAAAUUGCAUGAUCAAAGCAAACCAGAAAGCCCCGGUCCCUUUUCCUCUUCCUUUGCAAUUCUAUUACUCUUCUAAUCUCUUGACCCGCCUAUUUUUAACAUCUUCUUUUCCAUUCUAAAAUUUUCCACUUUCUCUAAAUCCCCAGGGGAUUUCCAAUCCUGUGAGUUCCAAGGGUCUAUCACUGUGAGUCACAGAGGUUUUGAUAGUUACUACACUUCAGACUCUGUAAAAGACAGAAAUUGCACCCUACCCUUCUCUGAAUCCCAUUGCAUCCAACACAUGCCUUGAUAGUAGGUAAAUCCUUCUUGACUUAGUUGGAAAGUCAAAAUCAAUGCUUCAAAAUUUCUGUCUCUUAGCCUAACCUUUCCUCCCUCUAAAGGUCUUGUGUACCUAUUGUGCCUGCUGCCCCCAUUCCCCUGUCCCAAUCCCCUGUGAAAGGAGGGCUUACAAGUUGCUUUCUUAUUCUAUAUCUCGUUUGCACCUCAACACAAAGCUCGAAGCUAGGUAAAACAGGCACUUGGGUAAAGAAGAAACAAAUGUUUUUUGAGCACCUACUUUGUCAGAAGGGUUAAGUAACUUGUCCAAGGUCAAAUAGCUAAUAUAUGAUAAAGUCAAGAUUCAACUCAGAUCUUUUGACUCAAGUCCUAACGUCUCUUAUUUUCUUCUAUUCUCUUGCCUACACCUCCCCCCACAUCCUUGUCUUCCCACCCCAUUUCCAUUCUGAGCUACUUCCCCAAGACUUCCUCCUCAGACCUCCAACUUGUGCUCUAUGCCCACCUGUCUCAGGUCUCUCCUUGCAAAAGGUCCCAUCCCUACCUGGCCGGAGCCGGAGUGCAAUCCUCUGGGGACUGACUUGAGUGACCUGGGAGCUGUCUCCAGAGCCUUUGUCGCUGAGGGGCCUGUCCUCUAGUACUCGGGCCUCACUGACUGGGAACUCGAUGGAUUCCGGGGCACAGUUAUCCUUCAGCAGAUUCUCCUUCAGGUCACAGCGAGUCCGAUCCCCCUUUCAUGGGCUGAAGCCUUCCCCACGUGGAUGGGGACAUGAGCAACACCAACAGCAUAAGGACUACCCUGGCCCAGGCAAGAACUGCCCACAAAGCCCCAGGGAGAAAACCUUCCCAAAAAGGCAGUGGAGAAAUCAGAAUGCAGUGAGGAGCGGAUCCUUUCCAGGACCAAGAUAGAUGCUGAAAAAGACAGCAGGGAUGGGAGCCCAGCAAACGGGAUGAGAGCAGCAAGGCCAUCAUGCAUCUUCAGGCUCCAUCAGCAGAGCAAGAGAAUGCAUUAGACGGGAGUUUCCUGACUCCUAUUUUCUAAUGUGGCCGUCCUAAUGAGAAGAGGGUUUGAAGCGCUAAGAUGUGCUGACAGUCCUAAUGGUUUGUUAUGAGUUUCCUUAGAAAAAUUAAACACUGAAAAA